rnacentral:lncRNA from 1 species
AUUUAACCAAAAAGAAAAAGGAAGAAUAGAAGACUAGGUUCUGCCAUCUUCUAAGCAAAAAAAUCAAGGUUCGUUCUUUGUCAGUUUUUGUUAAUUUCUACGUUUUUGAGAUCGUUGCUUCGAGUACUAUAAAACCCGUGCUUGAAUUUUUUAUUUUGAUGAAUAUUUUGAGGUGUGCCAUUGUUAAUAGCUUGUGAUUUUUGUGGUUUGAUGAUGAAAAAUGAAAGAUAUGUUUUAGCCUAACAUAUUUUGUUUUAGAAUUUUUGAUAAUUUUGAGUAAUUAGGACUUAAUUGCAAAAAUAAUAAUUUGAGAUACUAAAAUGUGAAAUUAAUGAAAUAUAUGGACUAGUAUGGUAAUGGGUAAGUUUCGGCUAAACAUGGGUAAUUGGAAAUUUUGUGUAUUUUGUGUUUUGUGCAAUAGGGACUAAAUUGUAAAAAUUAUAAAUGUUAAGGAUAAAAUGAUAAUUUGCCUAUUUAUGUGUUUUUAGACUAAAUUGAAUGAAAAUAUGUUUGAAUGAGCUUAAUUUGAAUAUUUUUAGAUCAAGAACUAAAGAAAUCAAAUUUGGAUCGGGGAAAAACGAAAGUUGUCGACUAACUGCCCGAUUCCAUUUUGUACCGUCCGAGGUAAGUUUAUAAGCAAAUAGACGUGUUUAUUUGGUAAUUAAAUGUUAUAUUUAUAUGCUGUUAUGAAAUGUGGAAUUUUAAUAUGCUAUGGCCGAAAAUGAUUAAAUUUGACUACUACACUUCCGAGUUCAAUUCGACCGAGUUAUGGCGUCCAAAAGCCCCAUAUGAACCUUAGGAAUAGCUAGGAUACAUAUGUCAUGACAUAGGAUUCCGGUAUAUGUGUGCGAGUAAGACCAUGGCAUCGAUAUGUGAUUCCGAUAUGUGUUUACGAGUAAGACCCUGUCUGGGACAGUGGCAUCGAUAUGUGGUUACAUGUAAGACCACGUCUGGGACGUUGGCAUUGUACGAUUUAUGUUAUUAUCUGAGUGUCCUAUACAAUUCCGAAUGGUUCAUCGGGCAGUGAUAAGCUAUAUUUGAAUAUGUUAAACGAGCCAUGUGACAGGUAUGAAUUAAAUUGUUACCAAGUCAAGGUAAUGACAGUAAGUAAUUAAUAUUCGAUAUAAUGAUUUAUUGAAUGAAUAUAUUCAUAUUAGAGUGGUUUGGUUAAAUUUAUUAUUGAGAUAGUUAUAUUAUUAGUUUGUUUAUUUGCUUAUAGCUUACUAAGCUAUAAUAACUUAUCUUGUGAAUGUUUAUUUCUUUUUAUAGAUUCUUUUUGAAAAAUCAAGUUACAAGUUCGGGGAUCGUCUGCGAAGUUCAUCACACUAUCUACUAUUUUGGGUACCUUUAUAAUUUAAAUUCGAAUUAUGGCAUGUAUAGGCUAAAGUGUGUUUUGGGACGGUAAAUUUUGGUUGUGUAUAAAGCCAUGCGAAAUGGCUAAGUUUUUAUGUUUGAUUUCAGUACGUUUGCUUAUGAUCUGAAUUCAUUUCAGUUUUAAUGUUACAUGCUAUAAAGGAAUAAUAGUUUGGAUAGGUGUUAUAUAUUUCGGAAAUAGCAUGAUAAUGGUUGGAUCUUUGGAGGUGG